AUUGAACGCUGGCGGCAUGCCUUACACAUGCAAGUCGAACGGUAACAGGUCUUCGGAUGCUGACGAGUGGCGAACGGGUGAGUAAUACAUCGGAACGUGCCUAGUAGUGGGGGAUAACUACUCGAAAGAGUGGCUAAUACCGCAUGAGAUCUACGGAUGAAAGCAGGGGAUCGCAAGACCUUGUGCUACUAGAGCGGCCGAUGGCAGAUUAGGUAGUUGGUGGGAUAAAAGCUUACCAAGCCGACGAUCUGUAGCUGGGCUGAGAGGACGAUCAGCCACACUGGGACUGAGAAACGGCACAGACUCCUACGGGAGGCAGCAGUGGGGAAUUUUGGACAAUGGGCGCAAGCCUGAUUCAGCAAUGCCGGGUGCAGGAUGAAGGCCUUCGGGUUGUAAACUGCUUUUGUACGGAACGAAAAGCCCCGGGUUAAUACCCUGGGGUCAUGACGGUACCGUAAGAAUAAGCACCGGCUAACUACGUGCCAGCCGCCGCCGUAA
rnacentral:rRNA from 1 species